CGCGUAGGCGGCCUGGUCAGUCGGGUGUGAAAGCCCGGGGCUCAACCCCGGAACGGCACCCGAGACGGCCAGGCUGGAGACCGGGAGAGGAGGGUGGAAUAGCCAGUGUAGAGGUGAAAUUCGUAGAUAUUGGCUGGAACACCGGUGGCGAAAGCGGCUCUCUGGCCCGGUUCUGACGCUGAGGCGCGAAAGCGUGGGGAGCAAACAGGAUUAGAUACCCUGGUAGUCCACGCCCUAAACGAUGUGUGCUGGGCGUCGGGGGGCUUGCCCCUCGGUGCCGGAGCUAACGCGGUAAGCACACCGCCUGGGGAGUACGGCCGCAAGGUUAAA
rnacentral:rRNA from 1 species